UUGUUAAAGGAUCACUAUAGUGUCAGGAAAACAAAGCGGUUUUCCUGACACUAUAGUGCCCUGAGGGUGCCCCCACCCUCAGGGUCCCCCUCCUGUGGCGCUGAAGGGGUUAAAACCCCUUCAGCCACUUACCUUAAUCCAGCGCCGGGCUCCCUCGGCGCUGGUGACCUCUCCUCCCCGUCCGACGUCAGCUCCCCCAUC